AGUGAAAAUAGUUAAGACUUCCGAGUUUGAUUGCAGUGCCAUGUAUGGGAAUAGUUUGAGCUAAAAGCCUCUUUCCAAACCUGGAGAAGAGGGUCGUCACAUGGAAAUCUGGAAGCCAGCUGCCAAACACAGAAACUUCAGUUCAAUCCAGAUGGUUCCUAAAAUGCAAAUCCACCAUUUGCCAGUCCAGUUUAACUUUGCUUCCAACUGGGAGUUUGCUGGCCCGAGAUACCUCCUAUCUGAGAAUGAUCGACCUGCCAGAUAUAAGCCUAUAGUUCUCUUGAGCUGGGCUUGGGGUAAUUUAUUUAAUGCUCACUCUAGUAUUGUGCAAGAUACAAUCUGGGCUUUCUUUGACCACAUACACUUGGCUCUAGAGCAGACCUUCCACCGAAAGAAUGUUCUCUAGUUCCUAUGGAAGGCUAUGAAUCUAUUAUGCACUAAUAGAUGUAAAGUCUCUCUGACGUUAGAACAUAGUGACCCAUAGUGACAUGACAGAGUACUGUAGGAACCACAGAACAUUUUAACACGACUGUGGAUAAAGUUGUAUGGUGGUGUUAUGAGAUAUUACAUCUCUUUGCAGGUGCUGAAUGACUAACCCUUAAAACUAAACAGAGGGCCCUGCAUGUUCUACUCUCGAUUUAUUCGAGGUAAACUACAUUUGUAGUGAUAACAUGUUCUAUCAUCAGCUGAGGGUCCAAGUCUCAUGUCUAGCUGACCCCCUCCAACCCAACCAGUAUGCAUUCAAAGCUCUGCUCUGUACACUUUGAAGAGAUGUUGACCUGUUUGAUCUUCAAAAGCAGUGGCUUGAAGCUUGGACACAGAGCCAGUCACUCCCCGAGUACUUUAUUUUAUUCCUGACCGGCUGAUGAGGAAUUAGUCAGUUCAAUAGAACAGCAGGGGGUGGAAGGACGUGAGGGUUAGAAGGUCAAACAGUACUCCAAUCUCUAGUGGCUGCCUCUGAUCUCUUCUCUAAGGGGGGAUUUAUUAACCCCGUGGCUUCCAGAGGCUUUUCAGGAAAUUUUCAAAAACAAACAAACCCCAAAGCACGAAAAUAAUGUGUUAUAUAUCAAGAACGUACACGAAGCAGCUAAAAUACGAGCAAAUACAUUUAAG